UACAGAGGUCCCAAGCGUUGUCCGGAUUCAUUGGGCGUAAAGGGCGCGUAGGCGGCCGGGUAAGUCUGAUGUGAAAUCUCACAGCUUAACUGUGAAACUGCAUUGGAUACUAUUCGGCUUGAGAGUUGGAGGGGGGACUGGAAUUCUUGGUGUAGCAGUGAAAUGCGUAGAUAUCAAGAGGAACACCAGUGGCGAAGGCGAGUCCCUGGACAACUUCUGACGCUGAGGCACGAAAGCUAGGGGAGCAAACAGG
rnacentral:rRNA from 1 species